CCCAAUCUAACAGCUUUGCCAGAAUGGUUUGAGGAUCUUCGGCACCCCAGUGCCUAAGCACAUCACCCUUCGACAUGCAAGUUUUGUGUCGCCUUCGGCACCCCCGUGCCUAGGCACAUCGCCCUUCGACACCCCCGUGCCUAGGCACAUCGCCCUUCGACACCCCUGUGCCUAGCCACAUUGUCUUACAACAUGCAAGCUUUGUGUCGCCUUUGGCUGCUAUUCUCCUUUAGCACCCCCG
rnacentral:lncRNA from 1 species